GACGAACGCUGGCGGCGGGCCUAAUACAUGCAAGUAGGACGCAGUUGCGAACGGGUGAGUAACGCGUAGGUAACUACCUAUUAGCGGGGGCUAACUAUUGGAGACGAUAGCUAAUACCGCCUACUAGUAGAUGGACCUGCGUUGUAGUAGCUAGUAAGGAGGGUAAGGGCGUACCUAGGCAACGAGACAUGGCCGAGCUUAGGUGGUUAUCCGCCACACUGGGACUGAGGCACGGCCCCGGAUCCGACGGGAGGCAGCAGGAGGGAAUCUUCGGAAAUGGGGGGAACCCUGACCGAAGAACGCCGCGUGAGUGAAGAAGGUUUUCGGAGCUGAAAGCUCUGUUUUUAAGGAAGCGGUACUUACCGAGAAAGGGCCGGCUAACUACGUGCCAGCAGCCGCGGUAAUUC
rnacentral:rRNA from 1 species